rnacentral:rRNA from 1 species
CCUACGGGAGGCAGCAGUGAGGAAUAUUGGUCAAUGGGCUUACGCCUGAACCAGCCAAGUCGCGUGAGGGAAGACUGCCCUAUGGGUUGUAAACCUCUUUUGUCAGGGAGCAACGCCGGCUACGUGUAGCCGGACUGAGAGUACCUGAAGAAAAAGCAUUGGCUAACUCCGUGCCAGCAGCCGCGGUAAUACGGAGGAUGCGAGCGUUAUCCGGAUUUAUUGGGUUUAAAGGGUGCGUAGGCGGAAUGCCAAGUCAGCGGUAAAAUCGCGGGGCUCAACCUCGCUCCGCCGUUGAAACUGGCGGUCUUGAGUGGGCGAGAAGUAGGCGGAAUGCGUGGUGUAGCGGUGAAAUGCAUAGAUAUCACGCAGAACUCCGAUUGCGAAGGCAGCAUACCGGCGCCCAACUGACGCUGAAGCACGAAAGCGUGGGUAUCGAACAGGAUUAGAUACCCCAGUAGUC